CUCGAUUCCCAGUAAACAUCUUCCACAGAGAACUCCAUCUCAGCAUCUAUUACUGAAGGAACAACUCAGAAUAACAAGAAUGUUCAGUAAAAAGCCCUGGAGCUGAGUGAGGAAGCCAGUCAAGUACACAUGUGGGGCAGACUUGCUAACUAUGGUCCCUGAAGAACAAUACAGUUGGGCUCUAGGAUUGCCUGGAAUACAGAGUCACUGCCAAGAUCUCUGCACUGCUUGUUGUGUAGGCCAGUGUGAUCAGACACAGACUGAGAAAUGGUCUGGGAUUCAUUGUCCAUGGCUAUGAUGAUGCCCAGAGUGAUUGCAGCUGGGGAUAGUGAAUGAGACUCCUGCCACUAACUUUAUGCAAUGGAGAGAUAACUACAUCAAGAAUCAUCUGCUCUUACUUUACAUGCCUGGAGUCCUUCAAGCAUUUUAAAACAGCAAUUGCUAUUUAAGAAGUUCCAUUUCUACACCAGUUAAUGCAUUUUCUUUUUUAUACCCU
rnacentral:lncRNA from 1 species